AACGAACGCUGGCGGCAUGCCUAACACAUGCAAGUCGAACGAGACCUUCGGGUCUAGUGGCGCACGGGUGCGUAACGCGUGGGAACCUGCCCUUAGGUUCGGAAUAACUCCCCGAAAGGGGUGCUAAUACCGGAUAAUGUCUUCGGACCAAAGAUUUAUCGCCUUUGGAUGGUCCCGCGUUGGAUUAGCUAGUUGGUAGGGUAAAAGCCUACCAAGGCGCCGAUCCAUAGCUGGUCUGAGAGGAUGAUCAGCCACACUGGGACUGAGACACGGCCCAGACUCCUACGGGAGGCAGCAGUGGGGAAUAUUGGACAAUGGGCGAAAGCCUGAUCCAGCAAUGCCGCGUGAGUGAUGAAGGCCUUAGGGUUGUAAAGCUCUUUUACCCGGGAUGAUAAUGACAGUAGCGGGAGAAUAAGCUCCGGCUAACUCCGUG
rnacentral:rRNA from 1 species